GCAAUGCCGCGUGGAGGUAGAAGGCAAACGGGUCGUGAACUUCUAUGCCCGGAGAAGAAGCAAUGACGGUAUCUGGGGAAUAAGCAUCGGCUAACUCUGUGCCAGCAGCCGCGGUAAGACAGAAGAUGCAAGCGUUAUCCGGAAUGAUUGGGCGUAUAGCGUCUGUAGGUGGCUUUUUAAGUCCGCCGUCAAAUCCCAGGGCUCAACCCUGGACAGGCGGUGGAAACUACCAAGCUGGAGUACGGUAGGGGCAGGUUGAAUUACCGGUGGAGCGGUGAAAUGCGUAGAUAUUGGGUGGAACAUCGGUGGCGAAAGCGCGCUACUGGCCUGAAACUGACACUGAGGUACGAAAGCU
rnacentral:rRNA from 1 species